GCAGUGACACCUCCGCGCCCUGACGGAAUAGGGCGUUGAAGGGCGUAGGCUAUGAUGAUGCCAGGCAAAUCCGGCAUCGGAGCUGAAACCUGAAAGUACGGGGUCCCCUUCGGGGGAACCUGAGAGCGAGGGUAACCAUACUCCCGAGAAAAUGGGCUAAACUCAUGUUGGCGGUACCCGUACCGCAAACCGACACAGGUAGUUGGGUAGAACAUACUAAGGCGUUGAGAGAUUCAUGGCUAAGGAACUAGGCAAACUGACCCCGUAACUUCGGGAUAAGGGGUCCUCACCUCCGGGUGAGGCGCAGAGAAUAGGUCCAGGCAACUGUUUAACAAAAACACAGGGCUGUGCGAACUCGAAAGAUGAAGUAUACAGCCUGACACCUGCCCGGUGCCGGAAGGUUAAGAGGAGAUGUCACCGCAAGGGAAGCAUUGAAUUGAAGCCCCGGUAAACGGCGGCCGUAACAAUAACGGUCCUAAGGUAGCGAAAUUCCUUGUCGGGUAAGUUCCGACCUGCACGAAUGGUGUAAUGAUCCGGACGCUGUCUCGGCCAUGAGCUCAGUGAAAUUGUAGUAUCGGUGAAGAUGCCGAUUACCCGCGAUGGGACGAAAAGACCCCGUGAACCUUACUACAGCUUAGCAUUGACCUUGGUCAUCCGAUGUGUAGGAUAGGCCGGAGGCUUCGAAGCGGCGUCGCCAGGCGUUGUGGAGCCAUCCUUGAAAUACGGCCCUUUGGCUGUCUGAGGUCUAACGCGGAUAGUCGCGGACACUGCUUGGUGGGUAGUUUGACUGGGGUGGUCGCCUCCAAAAGCGUAACGGAGGCUUCCAAAGGUGCCCUCGGGCCGUUUGGUAAGCGGCCUUCAAGAGUGCAAUGGCAAAAGGGCGCUUGACUGGGAGGGAGACAUCCCGAGCAGGCAGGAAACUGGGGCAUAGUGAUCCGGCGGAUGUGUAUGGAAACUCCGUCGCUCAAAGGAUAAAAGGUACUCCGGGGAUAACAGGCUGAUCCCCCCCAAGAGCUCAUAUCGACGGGGUGGUUUGGCACCUCGAUGUCGGCUCGUCACAUCCUGGGGCUGGAGAAGGUCCCAAGGGUUGGGCUGUUCGCCCAUUAAAGUGGCACGCGAGCUGGGUUCAGAACGUCGUGAGACAGUUCGGUCUCUAUCUAUCGUGGGCGCAGGAGUUUUGAGUGGUGCUGUCACUAGUACGAGAGGACCGUGGCGGACAGACCUCCGGUGUACCGGUUGUGCCGCCAGGCGCACCGCCGGGUAUCCGCGUCUGGAUCGGAUAAGCGCUGAAAGCAUCUAAGUGCGAAGCUUUCCACGAGAUUAGAACUCCAUUGAGGGUCGUCGCAGACGACGACGUUGAUAGGGCGCAGGUGUAAAGACGGCGACGUUAAAGCCGAGCGCUACUAAUUGCCCAA
rnacentral:rRNA from 1 species